UACAAGAAGUCAGAGCCCGUUAAAGGGUGAUGGCGUGCCUUUUGUAGAAUGAACCGGCGAGUUACUGUAUGGAGCGAGGUUAAGCAGGAUAUGCGGAGCCGAAGCGAAAGCGAGUCUUAAGAGGGCGAGAGUUGCAUGCAGUAGACCCGAAACCGGGUGAUCUAGCCAUGACCAGGUUGAAGUUGGGGUAAAACCCGAUGGAGGACCGAACCGACCCCCGUUGAAACGUUGGCGGAUGAGUUGUGGCUAGGGGUGAAAUUCCAAUCGAACCCGGAGAUAGCUGGUUCUCCCCGAAAUAGCUUUAGGGCUAGCGUCGAGGUAAGUUGCGUGAAGGUAGAGCACUGAAUAUGUGAUGGCCCCAUCUCGGGGUACUGAGCAUAAUCAAACUGCGAAUGUCACGCCAACAUGCUCGGCAGUCAGACAGCGGGUGAUAAGGUCCGUUGUCAAGAGGGAAACAGCCCAGACCAUCAGCUAAGGUCCCAAAAUGUAUGCUAAGUGGAAAAGGAUGUGGAGAUGUACAGACAACUAGGAGGUUGGCUCAGAAGCAGCCAUCCUUUAAAGAGUGCGUAACAGCUCACUAGUCGAAUGACUCUGCGCCGAUAAUUUACCGGGGCUAAGCAUACUACCGAAGCUAUGGAUCCCAAGGGAUGGUAGGGGAGCGUUCCAUGAACGGAGAAGUACGACCGAAAGGACGUGUGGAGAUCAUGGAAGAGAGAAUGCCGGUGUGAGUAGCGGAACGUGGGUGAGAAUCCCACGCACCGAAAACCCAAGGUUUCCAGAGGAAGGUUCGUCCGCUCUGGGUAAGUCGGGACCUAAGGCGAGGCCGAAAGGCGUAGUCGAUGGACAACAGGUAGAGAUUCCUGUACCCGUAUAUAUGUGAAGGAAUGACGGAGAGAGGAAGCUGCAGCCAGCGGCUGGAAGAGCUGGUGCAAGCGAGAUAUCGGGAUGGCAGGCAAAUCCACCAUCCGAAACGAGAAGGCGUGAAGCGUACGGAAAGCUACGGCGAGUACGGAAGGCAGUGGAGGAACUUCCAAGAAAAGUUUCUAACGUUAAGUAUAUAUGGCCCGUACCGAAAAUGGACACACAUGGGUGAGGAGAGAAUCCUAAGGUGAGCGAGAGAACUAUAGCUAAGGAACUCUGCAAAAUGACUCCGUAACUUAGGGAGAAGGAGUGCUCAUAGAGAUAUGAGCCGCAGUGAAACGGCCCAAGCGACUGUUUACCAAAAACACAGCUCUCUGCUAAGCCGCAAGGCGAAGUAUAGGGGGUGACGCCUGCCCGGUGCUGGAAGGUUAAGGGGAGGGGUUAACGCAAGUGAAGCCCUGAACUGAAGCCCCAGUAAACGGCGGCCGUAACUAUAACGGUCCUAAGGUAGCGAAAUUCCUUGUCAGGUAAGUUCUGACCCGCACGAAAGGCGUAACGAUUUGGGCGCUGUCUCAGCUGUAGACUCGGUGAAGUCUUAGUACCUGUGAAGAUGCAGGUUACCCGCGACUAGACGGAAAGACCCCAUGGAGCUUCACUGCAGGUUGAUAUUGGGAUUUGAUGCAGCAUGUACAGGAUAGGUAGGAGGCAAAGAGAUGGAUACGCCAGUAUUCAAGGAGCCGCUGUUGGGAUACUACCCCUGUUGUAUUGGAUUUCUAACCGGACGACGUAGAGCCGUUGACGGGACAGUGUCAGUCGGGCAGUUUGACUGGGGCGGUCGCCUCCCAAAGAGUAACGGAGGCGCCCAAAGAUACCCUCAGCUUGGAUGGAAACCAAGCGCAGAGUGCAAAGGCAAAAGGGUGUUUGACUGCGAGACCCACAAGUCGAGCAGGGACGAAAGUCGGGCUUAGUGAUCCGGCGGUGCUGAAUGGAAAGGCCGUCGCUCAACGGAUAAAAGCUACCCUGGGGAUAACAGGCUGAUCUCCCCCAAGAGU
rnacentral:rRNA from 1 species